CGCCUAGGGGCGUCGCGGCGACCGCCGACGCCUUCUUGAAUGAAAACGUCGCAGUCAGUUCGGAUCAAGGCGUCCAUCCUCGCUUCGACUUUCACGGAUUUUGUAUAUCCCACGUCGAGGAGAACCGCCAGUGACAUACCAAGACGAUAAAUCGAGCCUUCGUGCUGCGAACAGGUCGUCCCCCUCGCAUCGUUUCAUCUUCGUUGGAUCGCGAAUAUAUCAUAGCGGGCGCGUGUUGCAGCGACGACGCUUCCGAGACCGCGGCGCAGGUUGUCCAGACGCCAGAGGAAGGAAAACGAAGGCACGAAGAAGUUUCAGAACGGGUGAUGUUCCUUUUGGUCCCGUGAAUCGUCGACUGGCAGGAGUGUUGGCCGAGGGUGUGUCUUUUUCCGCUUUGCUGCCGCUGAGAUGGAGUCCGCCAGCAAAGGGGAACAGGCCGACCCUCCCGCACCAACUAAAUAAUAUUCGAUGACAGUGAUAUAUAGGGAACAACGUCGCUGUGCCCAGGCAACUUUCUCCUCGAUAAAUCUCGUUAACCUGGAAGUGGACCAUUCGGAACAAAAGUAAAGUAAUUGUCCACGACUGCGCCACGACGAAGAUCAACGUGACGUGGACGACCUUUAAAUCCUAAGAACAAUUCAACGCGUCUCGGUAACGUCAUUUCGUCAAUGUAAGUUUUUAAUUACCCUCUAGUAGCCUGAAACAUAAUGUCUUUGUGCGUUGAUUUACGGGCCCUAAAAGUCGUUUGUCCUCUGCUCAGUUAGACAAAGAUCAGAGUGUCGCGUGGAGACGGAAUGAAGUGCCGUGUUUUACCUUCUGCAUUUUAUUUUUUAUUCCACGGUCGUAGGAAUGAUUUAUUCGCGUCUAUUCUGUUCGAUAGAAGAAAUGUUUCGAAAGUAAAUAGCCACAAUCUUUAUUAAUUAUAAAUUUGUUGCCAGUUGCACGAAUUUGCUAUUGUUCUCAGACACCGUAACUCAGUUCCAUCGAAACGUAGCAGCGAUCCGCGAUCGAUAGCAUUUGGUACGCUGCGAGGUUCGAGGAUAAUGGCUGGCCGAAUGAUUUCCUCUAGAGUCGUAAAUCUCCUGACGCUUUACGCUAACCCAUCGACCAGGCAACGGUAAAUCAUCUUUUUCGGAACAAUUGCUUGCUUCCCACUCAAUUAUGUAUACGUGUACCCCGGUGACGACAAAGAUAGAUCGUGUAUACGUAUCGUUGAAACGAGAAUAGCAAUUUUACUGGGCCACAACCUGCGCCUCCCAGUCGCUGAGAAAUUUACGAGGGCCCACUCCUUCCAUAUUGAAUUACAUUUCGGUAAACAUUUGUCAUAGAGGCGAAUCGACGCCAGCCGAAAACCUCGUUGCAGCAAAAUAUUACUAUUUCUACAGGUUAGUCUGUGCACUUUCGACGUUUUCUUUGAAAACUUUCAUUUCCAUUUUUGAACACAACUUUAUUUAUUUCUGAUACGUUUGUAUUUACACACCUCUACAUUCAUGAAUACACAUUACAUACACAAAUUUGUUAUCUAUACAUUCACAUUUUCUGCACGCUAUAGUUGUUCUGUUAAAUUUUAUUUGAUUCGGGAACACAGCGUAACUCUUCUCCAAAGAAUUCUAGAUGGAGAUCGAGAUAAACUUUUAUUUUUACUCAUCGCCAGCUUCGAUGUAACCAGUCUGUAAUUGCGUGGGCGUAAUCUUCGAAUAGAAAGAAGUAUCGCGCGCGUAGCGAUCAUUCCAGCUAUGUCUAAUUUUAUCGCGAUCUUCAUACGCGACACUGUUCUUAUAUUCGUUCAUCGCGUGUUUCGUUUCACGAUUCAGUCAAACAAACUCGUCCGAGUUUACAUUGCUUCACUUUUAAUCUUUAACCUUAACCAAGCAUGGCUUCGGUUGUAGUUUGGAUCAUGAAGAUAAGCUUGUAGAUUACAACUAAUUUUGAUUUAUUUGUUUCAGACGAAGAA